UACGUAGGGGGCGAGCGUUGUCCGGAGUUACUGGGCGUAAAGCGCUUGUCGGCGGUCCACCAAGUUUGGGGUGACAGUUGCCGACUUAAUCGGCAAAGUGCCUCAAAGACUGGCGGACUUGAGGGCCACAGAGGGACAUGGAACUCCAGGUGUAGUGGUGAAAUGCGUAGAUAUCUGGAAGAACACCAAAGGCGAAGGCAGUGUCCUGGGUGGUCGCUGACGCUGAGAGGCGAAAGCGUGGGGAGCAAACAGG
rnacentral:rRNA from 1 species